UCCGAAGGGGGCUAGCGUUGCUCGGAAUUACUGGGCGUAAAGCGCACGUAGGCGGUCUUUUAAGUCGGGGGUGAAAGCCCGGAGCUCAACUCCGGAACUGCCAUUGAAACUGUGAGACUUGAGGAUGAGAGAGGUGAGUGGAAUUCCCAGUGUAGAGGUGAAAUUCGUAGAUAUUGGGAAGAACACCGGUGGCGAAGGCGGCUCACUGGCUCAUUUCUGACGCUCAGGCGCGACAGCGUGGGGAUCAAACAGG
rnacentral:rRNA from 1 species